AGCGAACGCUGGCGGCAGGCCUAACACAUGCAAGUCGAACGAACCUUUCGGGGUUAGUGGCGGACGGGUGAGUAACACGUGGGAACGUGCCUUUAGGUUCGGAAUAACUCAGGGAAACUUGUGCUAAUACCGAAUGUGCCCUUCGGGGGAAAGAUUUAUCGCCUUUAGAGCGGCCCGCGUCUGAUUAGCUAGUUGGUUGAGGUAAUGGCUCACCAAGGCGACGAUCAGUAGCUGGUCUGAGAGGAUGAUCAGCCACAUUGGGACUGAGACACGGCCCAAACUCCUACGGGAGGCAGCAGUGGGGAAUCUUGCGCAAUGAGCGAAAGCCUGACGCAGCCAUGCCGCGUGAAUGAUGAAGGUCUUAGGAUUGUAAAAUUCUUUCACCGGGGACGAUAAUGACGGUACCCGGAGAAGAAGCCCCGGCUAACUUCGUG
rnacentral:rRNA from 1 species